rnacentral:rRNA from 1 species
AUUGAACGCUGGCGGAAUGCUUUACACAUGCAAGUCGAACGGCAGCACGGACUUCGGUCUGGUGGCGAGUGGCGAACGGGUGAGUAAUGUAUCGGAACGUGCCCAGUCGUGGGGGAUAACGUAGUGAAAAUUACGCUAAUACCGCAUACGAUCUAUGGAUGAAAGCGGGGGAUCGCAAGACCUCGCGCGAUUGGAGCGGCCGAUAUCAGAUUAGGUAGUUGGUGGGGUAAAGGCCCACCAAGCCAACGAUCUGUAGCUGGUCUGAGAGGAAGACCAGCCACACUGGACCUGAGAAACGUACCAGACUCCUACGGGAGGCAGAAGUGGGAAAUUUUGGACAAUGGGCGAAAGCCGAAUCCAGCCAUUCCGCGUGCAGGAUGAAGGACCUCGGGUUGUAAACUGCUUUUGUACAGAACGAAAAGGUUUCUACUAAUACUAGGAGCUCAUGACGGUACUGUAAGAAUAAGCACCGGCUAACUACGUGCCAGCAGCCGCCGUAA